rnacentral:misc_RNA from 1 species
UCUAAAGGUGGGACACAGUGUUGAUCAAAAUGGCGGAUCUGUCUGGCACGGACGAUACAAGUUUGGAUUUAAAUACAACCCAAGAGUCACAAGAUGAACAACCCAGUCAAAAUGGAGACCAACCCAAAGAAAGGAAAAGAUCAAGAUCUCCUGUAGACCGUGAUAAGAAAAGAGAAAGAUCAAGCUCAGGUACACGUGAGCCAAAGUCGCGGCGAAGGAGUAGAGCUGGUGCAGGUGGAAAGGAAGACAAGAGAGUUCUUAUCACAAACAUUCCAUUUGAACUGACUUGGCAGAAGUUGAAAGAUCUUAUUCGGGAGAAGUUGGGAGAUAGUGCUGUGAAAAGAGUAGAGAUUUUCUCAGAUGAAAAUGGGAAGUCCAAGGGAGCUGGGCUGGCAGAUAUGCGUGACUAUGACAUGGCCACGAAAGCUAUUGAGGUAUUGAACAAGCAUGUUGUUAGUGGGAGGAAAAUCAUUGUCCGAGAGCUUACUGAGAAAGACAUCCGUCGCUACAUGCCCUCUCAGAUGGGAGUUGGGAACAUGGGCGGUGGAGGAAUGGGAGGAGGAGGAGGAGGAGGAAUACUGGGAGGAGGAAUGGGAAUGGGUGGGGGUAUGGGAGGAGACAUGAUGGGAGCGGGAAAUGCUGUUAACCCCCAGUUGUUGCAGUCCCUUGGGAUCGAAGGUCCUGUUACCAACUCAGUAUUUGUUGCCAAUCUUGACUUCAGGGUGACAUGGAAGAAACUAAAAGAGAUAUUUCAGAUGGCUGGCAAUGUGGUCAGGGCAGAGAUCAAGGAGGAUAAGGACGGGAAAAGCCGCGGCAUGGGAACAGUGCAGUUUGAACUACCUUUUGAAGCAGUGCAGGCUAUUUCUAUGUUUAAUGGUCAAACUCUUUAUGACCGAGCUAUGACAGUUAGAAUGGAUAAAUUGAAUGAUUCCAUUCCUCCACAACAGCCAAGGCUGCCAAGUGGUUUGAAGGGCAUUGGUAUGGGUCUAGGCAUGGGAGGAGCUCCAAUACAUGGACAAGGGGGACAGAUGGGAAACAUGGGUAUGGGAGGAAUGGGAUCUGGAAUGGGAAGUGGAAUGGGCAACAUGGGUGGCAUGGGCAAUAUGGGCAUGGGAGGCGGCAUGGGCAACAUGGGUGGAGGAAACAUGGGCAUGGGCUCUGGGAUGGGCAAUAUGGGAGGAAUGGGGGGUGGUAUGAGUAACAUGGGAGGAGGAGGAGGCAUGGGCAACAUGGGAGGUGGCAUGGGGAGCGGCAUGGGCAUGUCUGGAGGUAUGGGGGGUAUGGGGAUGAGCAACAUGGGCAUGGGCAGUGGGAUGGGGGGUAACAUGAACAACAUGGGGAUGGGAGGUGAUAUAGGUGGAAUGGGCAACAUGGGCAGUGGCAUGGGUGGUCUGUCAGACAUGAUUGGAAUGGGUGGUGGGUCCAGUGGGUUAGGAGACAGCAUGGGCUCUGUGAUGUCAGGCAUGGGUGGAUCCGGCAGUUACAUGGGCAGCAGUGGGCUUGGGGACAGUGGACGUUAUGGCAGCAGAGAUGGUGGGCGGCGUGACCGAAGCCGUGACAGAGACCGUGGGGACAGAAGAGGCGACAGAGGCCGGGAUUAUGGCCGAGAUCGAGAUGGGAGAGGAGAUGGAGGGAGCAGGGUGAGAGCUGGACAGGAAGGAUGCUCAGUUAUUGUCAGAAAUCUGCCUUUUAGCGUUGACUGGCAACAGUUGAAAGAACGAUUCAGAGAUGUUGGUGAUGUCAAGUUUGCAGAGAUCAAGAUGGACAACGGCAAGUCCAAGGGCUGGGGUACAGUCCGCUUCAACUCGCCCACAGACGCUUCGAGGGCAGUCAAUUUGAUGGAUGGAGCCCUUGUUGAAGGACGUGAAAUCUCGGUCCAAGUCUAUGUUUAAGAUGGAAAGCAAGUAAGGAUGAUAACAGCGGAUAAACCAUUGGUUUAAAAUUCACAUACUCUGCAGUGCCGAAAUUGCAGUUUCCAGA